ACGGAUUUUAGAAUGUGGGAAGUGGGCUGACCCUGCGAGGCCGAGAAACUCCGACAAAGUAGUAUUUUGAGGCCGUAUUUAACAGAAUUCUAAUUUAAUUGUCCGUUCAUUUUGGUGUUGUUAAGCCCUGGUAUUCAAACUAUCGUUCGCUACCCAAGUUAGAGUCGUCAAAAUAUUUUGCAUGUUCGCCGGACGUUGAACGUUUUUGGUGGCAGUGAGUGUUUGAGUUCUCAAUGUUGGAUCGACAAACUGGGAUCAGUGGAACCAAGCGUAUUGCGAGAUGGCUUACUCCAAGUGUCAUAUGAGAACAAGCAAAAUAAUGAUUGUUUUAAUUAUGAGCGGAAAAAAAUCGAUGGUGUACAGUUGUAUCAUGAUUUUCCUGCGUGGUUCAGCGAGAAUGAUCGUGUUGUAAAAUAGGCGUUUGUACCAUGCCUAUGAAUGUUAGUGAUUCCAGGAAGGUUAUCAUUAACUUUGUCGAUUACACUCCUUUUGUCGUGUAAGUUGACGUUGUAGAGCAUUAAUCAAGAUUAUGAACAGGCUGCUUCAUCUCCGCUAAAUUACUAAAAGCAUUAUAAAAUAAUGGUAUUCAUAUGUGUAAGGUUUUUGUAUGAAUUAUCUUCAUAAGCGUCGAAAAUACAUAAAAUGCUAAUGUAUCGUUUGUUUUAAUUACUUCGUUUCUCUGUUGACUACAUGCCAACUCAGGGAGCGACGUACGACGCGACCAUGUUAUCAAUAGUUAUUGCCCUAAAGAAAUCUUCGGUUUUUUUUUUUAAAUGUUAAGACAAAUGAAUUAUCAUCUUUGUAUUUGAUUUGAUUUCUAUAUUAGAAAUUGUUUAUGCAUAACAUUAAUGACUUGUCGUUCAAUUACUUAUGAUGAGAAGGUAUUAUAUUGAUUUUAUUUCAGAUAUAGUCAAUUUACUGAAUGCUAUUUUGUCGUACCCACCGGGAACAUUCAUUUGGACUCCUCCAUGUUUAGGCCUAUGCUAAGCAAAGUUGUCAGCUCUGAUUCCCAUACUUUGACAGUUCUAAAUUUGUUUCUGAUUGGUGUGUAAUGCAAGCAAUUGGGUAGGGCUAAUACUGUUGAAAUACUCUCUCAAACCAACAAACAAGUUAAAUACAGGUAUUGCAUCAAAAAUACAAUUUUAUUUUUAAUCAGCCAAACAGAGUUUGUUCAUGAGAGUAGUAGGCCUAUAAUGGGCUCACAACUGGUAUUUUGUAUAAUUUCACCCAUCCGAUACACACGAAAUAUUGUAAUAACACAGUAAUGUAUAACUUUUAUUGCAUUAUUUUUUUGCAAUUUUGUAUUGUUUAAACAUUCCGUACAUUAAACAAAAAAGUUACUGUUAAUAUUUUUAAAAUAUAUGAAAAUCAGAAUUUGCAGAAAAGAAUGCUUAUAUACCGAUCUUUUUAAUCGAGUGAAAAACAUCUUUGUUAUUGCUUGCUCGUGGCAUUUGUUAUGAUUUUAAAGUUUAAGAGGCGGAUUGACGGAGAUGAUAUCCUCAAUGAAAUGAGUGCUGACUCACUAGGGUAUAUGUUGAUUCGAAAUUCUGUAUAUUCAAUUGACAAAAUAACAUCCAAAUCAUGAUUUGAAAAAAAAAAUCAAACGAGUUGAAGGCAUUGAAUACGAACGAAAUGUUUGCAGGUUAUCAACAUUAAAACAAUACAUUGAAUUGUCCUAA